GUCUACAACUGUACCACCCAGAACAAGCCCCAUCUUGUCUAAUCUUAGAAGCUAGGUAGGGUUGGGCCUGGUUAGUACUUGGAUAGAAGACUGUCUGGGAAUACCAUGUGCUGUAGGCU
rnacentral:rRNA from 1 species